GGGUCUUGUGGUCUAGUGGUAUGAUUCUCGCUUAGGGCUCACCCUACAGCUACAAUUUGCGAGAGGUCCCCGAUUCGAUCUCGGGCAAGACCC
rnacentral:tRNA from 1 species